AAACCCUGAUGCAGCCAUGCCGCGUGUGUGAAGAAGGCCUCGGGUUGUAAAGCACUUUCAGUAGGGAGGAAGGUAGUGUAGUUAACACCUGCAUUAUUUGACGUUACCUACAGAAGAAGCACCGGCUAACUCCGUGCCAGCAGCCGCGGUAAUACGGGAGGGUGCGAGACGUUAAUCGGAAUUACGUGGGACGUAAAAGCGCAUGCAGGCGGCCUGUUAAGUCAGAUGUAGAAAACGGCCCGGGACUUAAACCUACGGAAAUUGCUAUUUAGAAAACUGGCAGGCUAGAGUCUUGUAGGAGGGGGUAGAAUUUCAGGUGUAGCGGUGAAAAUGCGUAGAGAUCUGAAGGAAUACCAGUGGCGAAGGCGGCCCCUGGACAAAGACUGACGCUCAGAUGCGAAAGCGUGGGGAGCAAACAGGAUUAGAUACCCUGGUAG
rnacentral:rRNA from 1 species